rnacentral:rRNA from 1 species
UACGUAGGCGGAAGAUUAAGUCAGUGGUGAAAUCCUGCAGCUUAACUGUAGAACUGUCAUUGAUACUGGUUUUCUUGAAUUUAGUUGAGGUAGGCGGAAUGUGUAAUGUAGCGGUGAAAUGCUUAGAUAUUACACAGAACACCGAUUGCGAAGGCAGCUUACUAAACUACGAUUGACGCUGAGGUACGAAAGCGUGGGGAGCGAACAGGAUUAGAUACCCUGGUAGUCC